rnacentral:rRNA from 1 species
UACAUGGGGUGCAAACGUUGCUCGGAAUUAUUGGGCGUAAAGCGCACGUAGGCGGAUCGCUAAGUCAGGGGUGAAAUCCUGGAGCUCAACUCCAGAACUGCCUUUGAUACUGGCAAUCUCGAGUCCGGGAGAGGUGAGUGGAACUGCGAGUGUAGAGGUGAAAUUCGUAGAUAUUCGCAAGAACACCAGUGGCGAAGGCGGCUCACUGGCCCGGUACUGACGCUGAGGUGCGAAAGCGUGGGGAGCAAACAGG